UUGAAUAGAAAGAUCUUUGCUUUGACAUUCUCUUCCAACUCUUGGCUGUGGACUUAAUUAAAACUAGUUACUCCAAUCUUCAAAGCCAUAACAUAUAUGAUUAGGACCCAAAAUGCAAUCUACUACAGAAAAUAAAAUAGGCCUGAGUUGUGGAAAAUAGAGACUAAUCUAGGAAAAGCUGUGAAGCUUUAAGAAAAGGCUAUAAAAGACCGAAUAACAGAACAUAAUGUUUCUACACAUUACGUAGUGCUACAUUUUUAAAGGUAUCUUCACACCUUAAAGUUUUAAUUGAAAAUUAACAAUUUAUGUAAUCUGCUCCUGGUCUGAAAUCUUGUAUUUUUGUCAGUUAAUAACUUUUCUUUCUUUUGCUACUGUCUUUUUGCAUGUGAUUAUGGGAUAUAAAUUGUUGCACCUGCCUGCAAGUACAUACCAUUCUGGAAGGAAGUCUGGACCUUGAGCAUCUUUCUGAACAACGACACUGAAUUUGGGGGAAUGUCUGGCAUACCAAAUAGGAAUCCAGAGGCACCUUUCAGAAGAAACCUGUGGACUCGAUCAGCAGAAGUCUCCUGAAGUUCAUCAAGGAUAAACAUCAAGUUCUGCAGCUAAGGCAGAAUAACCCCAAGCAGCAGUGCAGGCUGGAAACAAACUGUUGAAAAGACCCAGGGGUUACAGUGGAUGCCAAGUAAAACAUGAGGCAGCAGCGUGCUCUCAAGGUAAACAUCCUUCUGUUCUACAAAACAUGUGGCAGUUUGGGGCUCAAGAAAAAUCCUCAAACACAGGUAAGAAAGGAC